rnacentral:rRNA from 1 species
AACGAACGCUGGCGGCAUGCCUAACACAUGCAAGUCGAACGAAACCUUCGGGUCUUGUGGCGCACGGGUGCGUCACGCGUGGGAACCUGCCCUUGGGUACGGAAUAACUCUCCGACAGGGGUGCUAAUACCGGAUAAUGUCUUAGGACCAAAGAUUUAUCGCGUUUGGAUGGGCCCGCGUUGGAUUAGCUAGUUGGUAGGGUAAAAGCCUACCAAGGCGACGAUCCAUAGCUGGUCUGAGAGGAUGAUCAGCCACACUUGGACUGAGACACGGCCCAGACUCCUACGGGAGGCAGCAGUGGGGAAUAUUGGACAAUGGGCGAAGUCCUGAUCCAGCAAUGCCGCGUGAGUGAUGAAGGCCUUAGGGUUGUAAAGCGCUUUUACCCGGGAUGAUAAUGACAGUACCGGGAGAAUAAGCCCCGGCUAACUCCGUG